AUUGAACGCUGGCGGCAUGCUUUACACAUGCAAGUCGAACGGCAGCGCGGGCUUCGGCCUGGCGGCGCGUGGCGAACGGGUGAGUAAUACAUCGGAACGUGCCCAGUAGUGGGGGAUAGCUCGGCGAAAGCCGGAUUAAUACCGCAUACGACCUGAGGGUGAAAGCGGGGGAUCUUCGGACCUCGCGCUAUUGGAGCGGCCGAUGGCAGAUUAGCUAGUUGGUGGGGUAAAGGCCUACCAAGGCGACGAUCUGUAGCUGGUCUGAGAGGACGACCAGCCACACUGGGACUGAGACACGGCCCAGACUCCUACGGGAGGCAGCAGUGGGGAAUUUUGGACAAUGGGCGAAAGCCUGAUCCAGCAAUGCCGCGUGUGUGAUGAAGGCCUUCGGGUUGUAAAGCACUUUUGGCGGGAACGAAAAGGACUGUGCCAAUACCACGGUUCGAUGACGGUACCCGCAGAAUAAGCACCGGCUAACUACGUG
rnacentral:rRNA from 1 species